rnacentral:tRNA from 1 species
GCCUGGGUGGCGGAAUAGGUAGACGCACGGGACUUAAAAUCCCGUGGUGGUUACACCGUGCCGGUUCGAUUCCGGCCCCAGGCACCA